GGCUGGUACAAUGGUAGUGGGUUAUCAGAACUUAUUAACAUUAGCAUCACCAAAAUUGGUGUACAACCCCCCUGCCAAUGCUAAAUUUGGCUUUAU
ensembl:misc_RNA Y_RNA Y RNA